UUAAGGAGGGGGUGGAGGCCCGGUGCCUCAGCCAGACAGUGCGCGUCAUCAGAGUGGACAGUUUCUGCUCCUCGGACACGUCUUGUGACUCUUCUCUAGUCGACUCUGACCUGGAGGUGGGUUGGAGCCCUGUUUAGCCCUGUUGUGGGAUUGUGAGGCUUGACAACAGGACGUAGAGAACCUUUCACCAAAAGAAUGGCCAGCAAACUCCAAACUGAACAUCUGCACUACUGAACAUCUGCACCUGCGCGGCCCUGCAAGAUGGGGGGAAAAAAAGUCAAACCAACUAAUGUAAAUCUGCAUUAGUAAAGUGAUCUGGUGCAUUCAUUUCAGGGGAAAUAAAAAGUGUCAACAGCAAAA